rnacentral:rRNA from 1 species
GAUGAACGCUAGCGGCAGGCUUAAUACAUGCAAGUCGAGGGGUAGCAAGAUUGUAGCAAUACAAUUGUUGACGACCGGCAAACGGGUGCGGAACACGUACACAACCUUCCUACAAGUGGGGAAUAGCCCAGAGAAAUUUGGAUUAAUACCCCGUAACAUAGCGAUGUGGCAUCACAUUGCUAUUAUAGCUUCGGCGCUUGUUGAUGGGUGUGCGGCUGAUUAGAUAGUUGGCGGGGUAACGGCCCACCAAGUCUACGAUCAGUAGCUGAUGUGAGGGCAUGAUCAGCCACACGGGCACUGUGACACGGGCCCGACUCCUACGGGAGGCAGCAGUAAGGAAUAUUGGACAAUGGACGCAAGUCUGAUCCAGCCAUGCCGCGUGAAGGAUUAAGGUCCUCUGGAUUGUAAACUUCUUUUAUAAGGGACGAAAAAAGGUCUUUCUAGAUCGUCUGACGGUACCUUAUGAAUAAGCACCGGCUAACUCCGUGCCAGCCGCCGCAGUAAAAC